AAAAUCUCACAUACAACAUCUCUUGUUUUUCCAACAUCCAUUAAACAUAAAAUGAAAAAAUUAGAAAUGAAACCAUAAACACAAACACAUUCUCUCCUUUUCACCUCACCUUUCAUGUAUUUUUCUACAUAAACACAAACACAUUCUCUCCUUCUCACCUCACCUUUCAUGUAUUUUUCAACUUGCUCGCCGUUAAAAAAGAAAAGAGUGUAUGGUAUUUUGAGACAUUACAUACAAAGGUGGUGGAUAAAUAUAUAUCAAUCUAAUAGAAAGCACACGUCGGAUUUAUUUCUGCAAGAUAUUUACAAUAAUCUUAUUCAAACUGACUCGCAAAUCGUUGUUAAGGGAGAUAUUUGGAGAAAGACUGAUCACCUAAAUCCUAUUAGAAGUCAAGGCACUAGGAGAUGGUAUAUACUCUGGUCAACAGAUUUUAAUGUUGACCAAGAAUAAAGACAUGGAGUGAUUAUUGUGGGAUACGGACAGCAAAUAGAAAAUAACAAAUUGAAGGUUAUUUCAAUUUCUCUUAGUUGAGCGCGCUUGGAUCAUCUCGGGCAUAGAGAAACAAGAAGGUGUCCUAUAAAUGCAACAGAUUUCAAUGUUGACCAAAAUGGAGUGAUUAUUGUGGGAUACGGACAACAAAUAGAAAAUAACAAAUUGAAGAAGCAUCGGUUGCUGAAGAAUUCUGUCAUGGAGACAAAUGGAGUGAUCAAGGUUACUUCAAAUUUGAAACAAGACUGUGUCUAGAUUAGAAAAUUUUGUCUUAGUUAUUUCAAAUUUGAUCGAGGUUAUUUCAAAUUUGAAACAAGACGGUGAUUAAGGUUAUUUCAAUUUCUCUUACGUUUGUGUCAUCUCGGGUAUAGAGAAACAAGACGGUGUCUAGAUUAGAAAACUUAACUUCUCUCUUUUAACCUACAAUAUAUUCUUCUUUUUCUCUUUUAAGCUAUGCAUCUAUUCCUUUUUCUUUUUUUUUU